rnacentral:rRNA from 1 species
GUCCACGCCCUAAACGAUGUCAACUGGUUGUUGGGUCUUCACUGACUCAGUAACGAAGCUAACGCGUGAAGUUGACCGCCUGGGGAGUACGGCCGCAAGGUUGAAACUCAAAAGGAAUUGACGGGACCCGCACAAGCGGUGGAUGAUGUGGUUUAAUUCGAUGCAACGCGAAAAACCUUACCCACCUUUGACAUGUACGGAAUCCUUUAGAGAUAGAGGAGUGUUCGAAAGAGAGCCGUAACACAGGUGCUGCAUGGCUGUCGU